ensembl:snoRNA snoRNA:Me28S-G2173
ACCAAUAUGAUGAUAACCUUUAUCCCGAAUUUGAAGCCAAAUGAGACUAAUUUUUUAUACUGAUCGA